UUUUCCCUACCACUAAUCUUUUUCCCUACCACCACUAAUUUGUUUUCAUACCACUACGCUUUGUAAAAAAAAAAAUAGCUUUUAGUCAUGCCCUUAUAUCCUUACUUCUCUCUGCACAACCAAAGUUGGAAUUCAUAGAAGCCUUUAAGCUCCAAGAGUAGUAUCAAAGUAAGGGAGAGCGUGGGAAACCUAGGGCGUAAAGUUAGAGUGAAGAUUGUGCUUCGAGGGCUUUGUGACCAGGGGGAUUAGCGCUGUUUUCCCAAGACAGGUUUUUAUGUGUAUGAUCUUCAGGCUUUGCCUAUCCAGGUUGGCUGGCCGGUGCUGACGGGACGGAGCUGUGGCUAGCGAUAAAUUCCUAUGUUAGACUUCCGCUGUAGCAAUUACUCUUAUACAUCUUUUGUUUUCUCAACUUAAGAUGACUUCAUGUCGAGCUUAAAUUUGAAAUUCUAGUUUUAUGCUAAAUAAUGUUGGUUGUCAGAAACAUGAAACAAAACUUGUGAUCCAAAGGGGCUUAGCCCGACUCGUUAUUUUAUUAUUCGGGUUUUAACAAGGUUGUUCCUUGUUUAUUUCUAUGAA